UUCAGUUAAACUGCAAUAGUCCAGUCAACGUGCAACUGAAAUUACAAGUUAUUGGUCAAAAAAUGCACAUUAAAACCCAAAGUUAGAAUUUGUUUGGAAAAGAAUAUACAAAGGCAAAACGAACAUUCUUUACUACUGCACCCCUAAAUUUUCCUAUCCACACCCCUCCUAACUAAACACCACCAAAUUACGUCAUGUGGGAAUCCAUCUAACAAAGAUUUGUCCAACCACAAGCUGCCACCUUAUGCCCUAUGCCACAUCAUCAUCUUCCACCACUGAAACCCUAAUUCCCAAUCCAGAAACCCUAGUCGUCGUUACCUCCUCCAUGGCAGCCAUCUAGUGACCCUCAUCGGCCACCAUGAGCUCGCCCAAGGUCGCCGUCGCACAACAACCACCGCCAGACAUGAGCCGCCGCGCCGUAGAAUACAACCAAAAGAAUCACCAUCUUCAUCACGCGAAGCUUCUCGCGCCAGACUCACCUGCAAAAUCAAAAAGCCAAAGAACCCAAUUUGUCAUCUUUGACGUAGCGCCAAAUUCUCGCGUCUUCCACCACCUACAACCACAUUGCGACUCGCCGCGUUGCCGCCAUCAGGAGUCACGCCACCUAACAUCGUCGCGCCAUCAGCAGAGGUGAAUCCAUCUCCUCUAAGCCGAAUCCAAAUCGCAACCUGCAAAGAAUCCAAACAGCGAACCCUUUCUUCUUCCUCGAGUACCAUAAUCGCAAAUCCAUCACCGCAUCAGAUCCUACAUCAAAACCAGACCUGCAAUAAACCUAGCCUGCAUCGACGGUGACGAGGCUUCGACGACAAGAGCCUUCCAC
rnacentral:lncRNA from 1 species